UAGUUUGGAUAAUCUAAGAACUGAUUUGAGUCUUGGAUUAAAGCAUAAUCUAAAACUCAGUCUAUUUAAGGCAAUGGUUAGGAUAGGUUGCUCUGAGUUUUGCAUACCAUAACAUCACCCAAUAGUAGCUUCAAUAAACUUCUUUCACAGAGUUCUUUGAGAAUUAAAAAAUCUGAGCUCAGAUGUCAUUUAGUUCAAGUACCACUUUUCUUAUCUUUGGAACAUGCUCUUCUUAGUCUAUGUCUAAAUUAGCAAGUUGGAGAAGUAGUGCAGUUUUGAAGCAAAUGCUUCCCUUGUACUAUGUGUGGUUGGUUCCUCACAGCAGUUUUUGUGCACUAGACCUCACUUCCUUUUGGAGGAAGUAAAGAAAACAACAGUGAUCAUGAAUACAUACCACAGAUAAGUUUAUUGGGCAACAGGUAAUCUCAGUGACUACUGGGUUUGAGAAGACUGGCAAACAACGUUUCAUUACAUUUUAAAAAUGAAGGAAACAAAAAACCAACAUCAGGGCUGGCCUGGCAGGUGGGCACCUGUUAUGAAGAGCUUCCAGGAAUAUUCAAGUGGGAGCACAGUGCUGGGCCAAUCUGGAUUUCUCAGCCUUUGAUUCUCUAUGCUGGAGAAUAGGGAGGAUUCUCUCUCAUUGCUCUGGAAUUCCCUGUACCUGGGUUCAGAGAGGACUACUGGGAAAACACACCCAGAAACAUCCCAUCAGUACAUAGCUUACAUUAGCAACGUGCUGUGUCAAUAUGGCCAAUUCUAGCUGCAAUGAUCAUUAUUCACUCCAGCAAACGUGGCCAUUAAAUGCAAGGAUCUGGGAGGCCUGAGAGCACAGCAUGCCAGUGGAGACCCAAGACAAAUAAAGCAAUUGAGUAUGCUGAUGUUUUCCAUGUCAUUAAGUUCCAUGUCCCGUUAAGCAGAUAACCUGUGUUUCACUGGUCUUUAGCUGCCCAGAUAUUCUGGCGGUUUAUCAGGGAAAAGAUGUUAGAGGUUGGGUAUCGGGUACUUCAAGGCAUUGUUACUGAUGCUUAGAGCAGUUUUCAGCUUCUCUUCUUUCCUGCCCUCUUCUCAUAGAAACAAGCAUGAAAAGCCACAGGAUCACCAGACAUCAAUUCAACUCUCAGCAUGGAGGCAGCAGUGCCACAAUGCCAUUAAGGAAUGCCAUGAGGUAGAACAGAAAUGACUUCUACAUAUGAAAUCUUCAGACAGUGGCGAUGUGGAUGUCAGCACACUAAUACCAGCUACUGGAAGCCCACAAAUUGACAGGGCAGCCCAAAGAGACACAAGGAAGGUGUCACACCAGAAGCUGUCGUCCUGGAUAUAUGUUGAAAGAUCUGGCUGUGUUUGUUCUGAAGUAAACUCCAAACCAAACAUUUAUGGAGCGCUGGUGGGCAGUACUGACCACUUCAAACUGUGACUAAAUUCACUUUGUGUCAUCUUUUUCUUUUUUUCUGAAAGCUCUCAUAAAGUUCCAUACAGACAUCCUCAUUUGAGUUGCUGGGAUGGUAUUCCCACAUGAGAUCCUAAACCAGAUAGCAUGGUGCUGAGGUCACCCUGGAUGGCCUGAUCUGAGCCCCCUUUAAGCCUGAAGAGCUUGGCCCAAAUACCUCAGAUAUCUGUGGUUGGAUGAAUCCAUUUCCUGAUGUGUAGAUGCUGAAAUGGGAAUUAGUCACUAUUGUCAGCUUACAGGAGGAUCUGCUGUGGGAUCUUACCAGUCAUAGAGGUGAGAUUGACUGGAAAUAAUAACCCAUUUCCCAGAGUUCUUUCCCAGGAGACUUGGAACUCCUGGCCAAUUUUCUCCUGAGUUUCAGAAACAGCAAGACUCCCCCUCCUUUGGAGGCUGCCCACUCAACAAGGUUAACACUAUUUCAAAAAGCCAGCGUCCCUUGCGGUCUUUUUGAUGUUGGAGCUGUCUGCAGAAAACACCAUUCCAUUGUCUGAGAAACAGAAGGAAUAUGGUUCUGCAGGUUAGGCAACAGAUAGUUAGAAUCACAGAAUGGCCUGGGUUGAAAAGGACCACAAUGACCAUCGAGUUUCAACCCCCCCUGCUAUGUGCAGGGGCGACAACCACCAGACCAGGCUGCCCAGAGCCACAGCCAACCUGGCCUUGAACGCACCCAGGGAUGGGACAUCCACAGCCUCCUUGGGCUACCUGUUCCAGUGUCCUUGAAACUGAGAGAACCUGAGCCCAGGUGUGUACAUAUAAUUUAAGUAGUUGUUGAACAAAAUUCAGAAGCAGCCCUUAACAAAGGGGCCCCAGAACACAAGACUCCCCCUUUGUUAAUCAUGUGCCAUUAUGAGUAGGUUAAAGAACCUGUUUUGCUUUCACUUUUUGGCCAAGUGAGCCUUGGGUCCUUUUCUCUACAAUGGCAAAAAUUCAACAGGAAGAAGUGACAGCAUCUCUUUUUUACCCUCUAAUGCUUGGAACUUGCUGCAUUGCUACUUGGUCAUACAGUCAUUAUUCCUGUUGGUUUGUAACUGCCUGUGUCGACUUCUGAUUUUGCUGGUGCCAGCCUCAGGCUUAGAAAUGCUCAUUAGCUUUUUCUUUGCUGUCUGUGCAACUCAAUCAUUUAUCUGUCCUACCCAGGAUUUUAAUUUAGUCGUCGUUUUUUUUUUUCUUUUUUUUUUUCUUUCCCAAAAGGGAUUGAAGGAAGCUUGUAAACAUAAAAGAAAACUGUCCUCAGAGUAAUCCCUCCACAAUUGCUACCUGGAAAAGCAUGAUCUCCUGUUAACAUAUCUGCUUAAUGAUACACCUUGGUUGAGUCUCAGGGUUUGAGAAAUUUGAGUAGGUUUUGAGCAGUCAAACAUUAACUUCUGAGGCUCGUGGCUGGCUGAUAUACUUUCCCUGCGUUAGUCUUGAGAGCAUAAUGUGGCGUCUAACAAAAUUUAGUCAGUGUUAAGUCACUGUUGAGCAUAAAGCAGGUUUGCAGUUUAGAAUUACUUCUGUGUAUGUUGCAUUGGAAGGUUUUCCUUAUCCUACUGCUGAUGUUGUUAUUGCCUCAGAAGGACUUCAGGUUGGAUAUUAGGAAAAAUUUCUCAAAAAGAGUAGUGAGGCAGUGGCACAGGCUGCCCAGGGAGGUGGUGGAGUCACUGUCCCUGGAAGUGUUCAAAAACGUGGAGUUGUAGCACUGAGGGAUAUGGUCAGUGGACACGGUGUGAUGGGUUGAUGGUUGGACUAGGUGAUCUUAGUGGUCUUUUCCAAUCUUAAUGACUGUAUGAAGAUUUCUCUACAAAUCUAGAUUACAUAUAUGUGAGUAGGCAGAAAGAGUUACUU
ensembl:lncRNA